CUGGUUGAUCCUGCCAGUAGUCAUAUGCUCGUCUCAAAGACUAAGGCAUGCAUGUCUCAGUGCAAGCCGAACUAAGGUGGAACCGCGAAAGGCUCAUUAAAUCAGUUGUCGUUCACAGGAUCGUGCCACACCCUACAUGGAUAACUGUGGUAAUUCUAGAGCUAAUACAUGCCGAUAGAGUCCCGGCAACUCCCCGGGCUCGCCCGGGGCAGGGACGCUUUUAUUAGAUCAAAACCGACACCGCGGGCCUCCGGGUCCGCGGUUUCUCCAGCACUUCGCGUGCACACUGGACGAUUCCGAAUAACUCCGGCCGAUCGCAUCGGACCCUCGCGGUCCGGGCGACGCAUCCUUCAAAUGUCUGCCUUAUCAACUUUCGACGGUCGGGUAUUGGCCUACCGUGGUUGCGACGGGUAACGGGGAAUCAGGGUUCGAUUCCGGAGAGGGAGCCUGAGAAACGGCUACCACAUCCAAGGAAGGCAGCAGGCGCGCAAAUUACCCACUCCCGGCACGGGGAGGUAGUGACGGAAAAUACCGAUGCGGGACUCAACCGAGGCCCCGUGAUCGGAAUGAGCGCCCCGUAAACAAGGCGACGAGGACCCAUUGGAGGGCAAGUCUGGUGCCAGCAGCCGCGG
rnacentral:rRNA from 1 species